rnacentral:rRNA from 1 species
UACGAAUGGGGCGAGCGUUGUUCGGAAUCACUGGGCGUAAAGCGUGCGUAGGCGGAAUUGAAAGUCAGGAGUGAAAUCCCGGGGCUUAACCCCGGAAUUGCUUUUGAAACUUCAAUUCUAGAGUUCUGGAGAGGUAAGGGGAAUUCCGAGUGUAGAGGUGAAAUUCGCAGAUAUUCGGAGGAACACCAGUGGCGAAGGCGCCUUACUGGACAGAUACUGACGCUGAGGUACGAAAGCGUGGGGAGCAAACAGG